CUGGAAACCACGAGUGGGCUUAUAACUUCUCCCACUCCAGGAGUCGUUUCAGUAUGCCGGGACACACGGAGAAUCUGUGGUACAGCUGGAACAUUGGACCCGCUCAUAUCAUCUCCUUUUCCACUGAAGUCUAUUUCUAUCUGGAAUACGGCCUGGAUCUGCUCUUCAGACAGUAUGUGUGGCUACAGGCCGAUC